rnacentral:lncRNA from 7 species
ACUUAGAGGAAGCUGCUCUGCAAGAGAAAGAAGAUCCUGUGAGCACUCAAGGUCAACGCUCAAUGAAGCACAACUGGAGACAGAAGGCAGUUCCAUGAAGCACAGCUCCUGCUUUUUCCCUGCUGUUCUUGGUCCAGCAACUGAUGACAACGAAUCAGCUUCUAGCUCCUUGACUGUAGAUGUGGUGCGAUCCUCCUUACCCUGCUGGCAGGAGACUUUUGCAACCCCCUGAUGCUUUUGGGAGUUUCAAGGUCCUGUCAGCUGGAGCAGUGAAUGCCCGCAUCCCCUGGAAACUGCAGUAGUAUCCUGCUGCCUUAUAAAGGUUGAUAAUUGGAGAUGUAACAUCAUACACUGCAAAGAAUUAAGCAUGAAUGAUUCUAGAUCAUGAAAAAAAUCUGGGCAAGCUUGAAAAGCUCUUCCCCAGGGACAACAUUCCAGCUGGGGCUGAUGGUGCUGUGUGUGUGCACAUAAUGCCAUCCAUCAUGAGCUGCCUGUUUUCCCAACAGUGUGAGUGGGACUCUGGUACAACCCAGAGAGGACGUAGAGGAUGUGGUGAAAGAAACCCCUGACCUUGCUCCCUUCUAUGAAUUUUGAGUCUAGAUAAGACAAUCAUCUUGUUAUACUACUUCUUAGGAGUCUAAUCAUAUUACAGGACAUUGUAUUUCACCUGUUAGCUUCAAGACACCUUGUGAAUGGCUGAACGUGUCAGGAAAAGCUCUCUUGUGCUUCAGAUGUGAAUCAUUGACUGGAUUGUAAAAGGCAAAGGCAAUCAAUCAACUCCAAUCUGAGAGUUGUUGUUCAUGUGGGUAACAUAUCUUGAAGCUUUAAUCAUCUGCGUACCCUUUCGGAAGUAAUUUCUACAAAUAAAUUCCAAAUGUCAGAUAUAUUUCAUCAUUUAGCUUCAGCAUAUGGAAGUAAAAGUUGAAAGAAGCAAUUCACGGUCAUUUCUUACUGGGAAGAAAAUGAAGGG